rnacentral:rRNA from 1 species
ACGUAGGAGGCAAACGUUAUCCGGAUUUACUGGGCGUAAAGCGCGUGUAGGUGGUUCUGUAAGUAGGGCGUGAAAGCUCCUGGCUCAACUGGGAGAGGCCGUUCUAAACUGCAGAGCUAGAGGAUGGUAGAGGGAGGUGGAAUUCCGGGUAGAGCGGUUGAAUGCGCAUACCUCCGGAGGAAAAGCGGUGGCGAGAGUAGCCUACUGGACUAUUUCUGAUUCUCAGACGCGUAAUUUAUUUUAAAUUGCGG